CUUCCUGCCUGACUUCUCAGUGUUGUAUGCUAACCUGGAAUUGCUGGCUUAUACUUUUUUGUGUGAUAAGAUCUCUCACUGAACCGGAGAUCACCUGUUUGGCCAGAAAUGCUGUUUCUGUCUCCCCAGCUCCAGGAUUACAGGCACAUGACACCAAAACCUUCUUUUUCAUGUCGGUGCAGGGAACUGAACUAAGACCUUUGCACUUGUAUGGGAGACUGUGUCAAUGAGCCCACCAUACGCAGACAUCAUGUAUUUUGUUUACUGCUGAGGGACACCGGUGUAUACUGAACAUUCCAGAGGGCAUCUUCAUCCGGGGCAGCUCAGCGGCUCAGGAUUCUGCCACCUGGUGACACUGGAGUCUUCAGUGUGCCUAAGCGGUCUCUGUCAUGUUCAUGUGACAGCGAAAUUGUUAAUAUCAUGGCUCUCACACCCAACAUCACUGAGUCACAUCUCACUGUUUCCCAAAUGGCUCAUAACUGGCAUGGGCACUUUGCCAUGAAGAACUUAAGAAUCC
rnacentral:lncRNA from 1 species